AUGGUUGUGCUGAAGCUUGAUUUUCAAAAAGCGUUUGACAGUGUUAGCUGGGAGGCUCUAAAACAAAUCCUUGCAACAAGGGGCUUUGGGGACAGAUGGAUCCGAUGGGUGGAUGAUAUCCUAGCUUCUAGUUCCUCCAGAAUUCUUAUCAACGGCACUCCCGGCGAAAGGAUCCUAUCAAAGUGUGGCCUACGGCAAGGGGAUGCCCUGUCUCCAUACCUUUUCAUUUUGGUCGCAGAUAUCCUACAACAGCUCUGCCAGAAGGAGUAUCAGGAGGAGAACCUAGUGCAUCCGUUGGGAGCCGACGGGCCUUUUCCAAUUCUGCAAUACGCGGAUGACACGCUCAUUCUCUUGAGAGGAGAUGUCCAACAAGCAGGCAUUAUCAAGCGGAUUGUGGAAGACUUCAGCAAUUUUACUGGUCUAAAGAUCAAUUAUCACAAGAGUACUUUUGUUCCAGUUGGAUUGGACCAGCACACCUGUCAAGGUAUUGCUGAGAUUCUGAAUUGUCAGACUGCAGCCUUCCCUUGCACCUACCUGGGGUUACCACUCUCUCUUAACAAGAUACCGCACGGACUGUUAAUGCCUGUGAUUCAGAAGGUGGACAAGCGCUUGUCUGGUUGGCUUGCAACUUUUCUGUCCUGGGGGGGCGUCUAA
rnacentral:rRNA from 1 species